AAUGAAAGACAAUCAAGAAAAAUAAGGAACUCAAUGAAUAAAGAAGGCACACAAAAAGAGUCCUAAAGAAAAGUGCUAGAGUAGAUUAAAGAAAACAGAAAACAGCUACUGGAAAUGUAUUGUUUUUUUUUUUAAAGCAAACUGUGCUAUGUUUACAGAUUUAACUGUACCGAUUGAAAGCGAACUGGACUGUGAAAAAUUAACCACAGAAACUUCAAUGUCUUAACUCAAAAAUGGCACUGGAAUGAGGUAAAAACAGUAAGCCAAUUGAGAGAAAUAAUUUUUUCAAAAUUGCUGCCCAAUUACCGUAUUCUUUUCGGCAGUAUUGUACACUUUUCGUAUUUUAUUUAUCAUUUUUUGUGUACUUGGAAUUUUUGAGUGAUUCUUUUUUCUAUGCUUUUGUAACACUUUGAAGUAUGUAAAUCCAAAUUUUCACAAAUUUUCAGUGAGCCAAUUAAUUGCAGUAAAUUGAAAACAGUAGCACGUUUGUAAGAAAACAGAGUAUCCUAUUCAGAAAAGAAAAACAGUAAGAUGAACUAGCAAAGACAUAAUGGAAUUUGUGUAAAAGAACUUGUAUAGAAUGAAGAUACAAGCAUGAACUCAAAUCUAAAAAUGAAAAUGCA
rnacentral:lncRNA from 1 species